rnacentral:rRNA from 1 species
GAUGAACGCUGGCGGCGUGCCUAAUACAUGCAAGUCGAGCGAACAGACGAGGAGCUUGCUCCUCUGACGUUAGCGGCGGACGGGUGAGUAACACGUGGAUAACCUACCUAUAAGACUGGGAUAACUUCGGGAAACCGGAGCUAAUACCGGAUAAUAUAUUGAACCGCAUGGUUCAAUAGUGAAAGACGGUUUUGCUGUCACUUAUAGAUGGAUCCGCGCCGCAUUAGCUAGUUGGUAAGGUAACGGCUUACCAAGGCAACGAUGCGUAGCCGACCUGAGAGGGUGAUCGGCCACACUGGAACUGAGACACGGUCCAGACUCCUACGGGAGGCAGCAGUAGGGGAUCUUCCGCAAUGGGCGAAAGCCUGAUGGAGCAACGCCGCGUGAGUGAUGAAGGUCUUCGGAUCGUAAAACUCUGUUAUUAGGGAAGAACAAAUGUGUAAGUAACUAUGCACGUCUUGACGGUACCUAAUCAGAAAGCCACGGCUAACUACGUG